AUAAACCUUUGCCUUGCAACGGGAUGGGAUGCGAAGUCUCCUUAAGAUUCCAUCCAACUCCUAUUCCGACACGUCCACGUCGUGCAGGGUGGUAACAUGGGACCAAGUCCAGCCAUUCGGCUGAAUGAAGGCUCAUGGCUAAGAAGGAGGGG
rfam:Anopheles epiroticus strain epiroticus2 unplaced genomic scaffold supercont1.383, whole genome shotgun sequence.